rnacentral:lncRNA from 1 species
UGCUACAAACAAUCAAUCAUUUGCGGGAAUUCUUCAACAUCUCUCGAUGGCAUAUAUUAUUAUCAUCAGCAUAUGUUUUCUUGUCGGAUCGUUGGCGCUAACCAUUAAUCCUAAAAGCUCGAGCUGUUAGAAAUACGCAACCAAUUCACUUAAAGUGUAUAAAUACAGCGCUCACGGAUCUCGAUUGUGACUCGGCCCACCCAACCUUAUGCCACUUCGAACAUGACUCAGUCCAACCCGACCUCACGCCAUUUCGAACGUGACUCGACCCACUUGGCCUCCCGCCACUGUGACACCCCAAUAGUCCCACAUCGGAUGAGAAUAGGAUUGUCAUUGGGUAUAUGAGAGGACUCCACACUAGUAAUAAUAACGGGGCUUAAGUAUUUUGGGCCAAUGGUUUGGACCCAAUAAGUUAUUAUUGCUAACAGGUUAGAUCGUUACAUUUGGUAUCGGAAGUGUGAGAUGAGUCUUGGCUGAGUCAGGCUCGGAAUGACAGACUAAGCCGAGAUCGGUGAAUGACAGGCUAAGUCAGGAUCGGAAUGACAAGGCUAGCGAGACAAUAAGGACAUCACACCCGAUAGUCCCACAAUAGAUGGGAAGGAGUUAGUAUUUUGUGUUUGAACCCAACGAAUUAUUAUUGCAUAUUGCUAGCGGGUCAGGUCGUUACAGCUAUAGGGCAGGAUGCUGGUCCAUUUAAGCCAACAUUUCUUUCUUCAUCAUCACUAUUUUUUUUUUUCACUCAA